rnacentral:rRNA from 1 species
UUUAUUGGAGAGUUUGAUCCUGGCUCAGGAUGAACGCUGGCGGCGUGCCUAAUACAUGCAAGUCGAGCGAAUGGAUUGAGAGCUUGCUCUCAAGAAGUUAGCGGCGGACGGGUGAGUAACACGUGGGUAACCUGCCCAUAAGACUGGGAUAACUCCGGGAAACCGGGGCUAAUACCGGAUAACAUUUUGAACUGCAUGGUUCGAAAUUGAAAGGCGGCUUCGGCUGUCACUUAUGGAUGGACCCGCGUCGCAUUAGCUAGUUGGUGAGGUAACGGCUCACCAAGGCAACGAUG